ACCAAACUCCAGUCCAGGCAGCCACCUGGCUUGAAACUGGCCUGGCUUUGCUGUUUUCCUUUGGCAGCUCCCAAGACCCGAUGGUAGGAGUCCUAGGCAGCUGGGACCUACCAGGCCAUCCUGAAGCCCCCAGCUCACUACCCAGGGACCCCUGUUCCUAUCUGAGAGGACCACCUCUGCUUGAAGCUGGAAUCUGAUGCUUCUUGGUGCCAAUAACUGAAACCAGACUGUGAAUGACUACAUGUUGCUUCUACUCAAUGAGUGAUGACUGCCUGCUCACUCAGUGACCACAGUAUCUCAGAGAGGAAGAGGAGGGAGCUGGGGGCUGAAGGCCAGUGGCUUUAGAAGGAAACAACAUUUGUGUGGUUAACUGAUAACUGGGCCCCAUCCCCGGGCCUCCAGUGGCCUCUUCCUCCCUCUCUGUCCUCAGUGUGAUUAAGAUGAACUUACCUGUCUGCUAAUCAUUGCUGAGCCUGUUGGUCUUGCUUUAAAAAAUUAACUGGGCAUGAGUUUGCGGUUUGCCUCAUCCCUAACCCUGAAAAGGCCGCGGGGUGGGCAGGAGCCCUCCUAGGUUAUGCAAGAGGCCACUGGCCUCUCCACAAACCUCCAACAGCCUCCACUGCGCCCUCCGGAGGGGAGGCUUUGCUCAAGAGUCAACAGCCUGCAUGUGCCCCUGCUCCCGGGCCUGAGCAUAUUUGCUCUGUUACCACAGGGAGAUAAAGGCAGCCAGGAAGCUUCCCAACGUGGGAUGUGAAGCAGCAGGUUUUGGUUCUAAUGUCUCAGUCAGGGAAUCUUAGGGGACAUGCAAAGGGAGGCUUUGCAAGCUGGGUUCUGGGGCUCCUGAGAGCUCACUGAGGGGGCCAAUGAUGCCUUCUUAAAAGAGUUUUUUUUUUUUUUUUUUUUUUGAGACAGAGUUUCUCUGUGUAGCCCUGGCUGUCUUAGAACUCACUCUGUAGGCCAGGCUGGCUUUAAACUCAGAGUUCUGCCUGCCUCUGCCUCCCAAAUUCUGGGACUAAAGGCAUGCACAACCCCCCAGCCUUAGAGGAGCUCUUAAUAGUUGGUUUUUUAUGCCAAGAAAGCUCUGUCCCAGACCCAGCAGAUGGGGACAUGGAGAAAAAGAAGGAUGCAUUCUUUCCAGGAACAGGCUGCUCUAAGUAGCCUUGGUCUAGGGCCUGAGUGAUGAGUUGAAGGACCUUAAGGGCAAGGGGGAUUUCCCUCUGCUGGCAGAUGUCUGAGAGCCACCAGAGGCCCAAGUCAGGGGAUGUCACUGUGUCCUUCAGGUCUGUGAGUAGUCCCCGCAGCAGAUGCAUGAAGUAGAGGCACCUCCCAGCUUUAGCUAUGUCUUGUCCCUGGAAUCAUCAGGCCCUAGAGAAAAGACUCAGAACCCAGAGCCCUUCCCUGACUUUCUAGACCCUUCAGCUUCAGUUUCUUUCCUUGUGAAUUGAGAAAAUGCCUAAGUUCUAAUUUUCCCAUGAGGUUGAAUAGUGCCAAAGAUGCACAGAGCCAAUGUGUGGACGUUUGUGUCAGGGUGGGUCCAGGGCUUUGUUCAUGACUCCUCACAUUGCUCUGAUGCUGGUGUGAGACCGCUGGCCCAGAGAAGUUUCCACUGGCGCUGGUGUACCCAAGCUCACACAGUUGAUAGGAAAUGAGAUGCAGGACUGAAAUCCAAGCUGACUCCAGAACCUGUAUUCCCAAUCCCGAGACUACCCCAGCCUUCUGAGACUUUCCCGGAUGUAGUAAGUACCCAGGGAAGGCUGGCAGGAUAAGGACAUGGAAGCUGCUUGGGCAGAAAGCAGUGUAUUGUUGUGGGAGAUGCCAUGGGGAAGGUUAAGGAGGUCUGGGUAAGUGGAUAGUCUGGGGAAUGGUCAGGAAAGAGGCCAGGAUUGGGCCCCGUGGGCGGUGCUUCCUGUGGGCUGUUUGCCUACUGCCAGGUGGCUUAUGACAUCUGGGCUGAGGGUGUUACUGUCCUGUUUGUGUUCUGUGAGGUGACCUUGACCUUUGUGGGACUUCAGGGGUCACGGGGAGCCCCUGAGUAUAAGUCCUGGUCUUGGGGAUGAGGAAUGAGUCUGCCACUUAGAAGUCACCCUUAAUCACCCCUGACUCCUGUUUGGAGGGGUCCAGGGGAUUUGUCUGAGGUCAUCAGGGUAAAGUCAGUAUUUGGGAGUUCUGAGAUAGGCCAGGAUCACUGUGUGCAGUUGCACAGGCUGCUUAUUGCACAAAAUGUUCCAGUCAAGAGGACUGAGGUGGGGGAUGGGGUAGGGGGUGGAAAUCCAGCCCUGGUUCCAAAGCCCCAGGAGGGGAUUCCAUUUCUUAUUUGAACAACGGUUCCAUGAAAGCCACUGAAUGCCUGGUCCCAGCUUUGUUUUCAGCCAUGUGUGGUCCUGGGAAAGGUCAUUUCUCUCUUUGGUCUUGGUUUCUCAUUUAGAAAACCAAGCAGAAUUUCAGUCUGGAUAAUGAAACGGAACCACUUGAGACUGUUUUGUAUUUGAGACAGGAUUUCUCUGUGUAACAGCUCUGGCUGUCCUGGAACUUACUUUGUAGACCAGGCUGGCCUUGAACUCACAGAGAUCUGCUUGCCUCUUGCCUCUGCCUCCCAAGCACUGGUAUCAAAGGGGGAGAUACCACCACCUGGCUCACCUGAAAUUGUAAAAGGUUUUUACACCCUGGGUCUUAAAGGGCUUGUGCUUAGUGGUGGCAUGCUUAUCUAGCAUGUCAUAGGCCUUGGGUUCCAUCCCUAACACCACCCGGAGAAUAAGAAGAAUAAAACAAUGAUUCUAAGUCCUGUCAUAAACCAACAGACAAAUCUUGGGGUUGGACAGUCAGGCAGGCAAUGUAGCACACACAUGGAAUCAUAGCAAGAGCGCCAGGAAUUCCAUGCCAACCUGAGCUACAUCCUGGUGAGUGGAGGGCUAGCCUGAGCCAUAUAGACACAUUCUAUCUCAAAACAAAAAUCUUGGAGUCAGAUGCAUGGUGCUAGGUGUCAGCAAUUCCAAGAAAAUUCUGGUGGAUGGCCAUAAUUCAGAACUUCUGUGGGGCAAGGGAGAGCUGGAAGCACCCUAAUGCAGGCCCAGGUUUGACAACGUAUGAGUCAAAUCUGUGGUGAGGCUCAGUUUCCCUAUCUGUUAGGUGGGUCUGGGAUAACUGCCUCACCAAGUCAGAACGCUGACUCAUGCGUGAUGUUUGCACCACACCUGGUCCCGUCCCCAGUUUGUAGACAGCUCCAAUUCCAGGUACGAGUGGCUCUUGCUGUUAUUAUUGGCAACAUCAUAGUGGCUUCCAGGUCAGGGACAGAAUGACAUGGAGGUAAUUCCUACCUCACAAUCUUGGCUGCACACCUGUCCUUGCGGAG
rnacentral:lncRNA from 1 species